CCAGGGGCGAGAGCGCUCUUGGAUCCCAUGAUGCAUCGCGUGCCGCGUCUCCCGGAGCGGCGGCUUCCAGCUCAGCAGGUAGGGCUGCGGCCUCGGCCCUGCCCCUUCACGGCGGGCCUCUAGCAGAGGGGCCGAGCCCCACCCUUCCCCUCUCCGCCCUCUGCCUCGGCCCCUUUCCGGGCGCCCUUAGGUCAUCCCUCUCUCUUCUCCCGGGCCUCUCUGUUCCUUGUAUGACCCUCCAGGUGACGGGAACCUCACUUCAGUCCGGGCCCCACCCGCGUCCGCGAAUCGCAGCGUGGUCUUUUCUGUUUGUUGAAAUGUCUAUGAUUUUAUCUGCUUCAGUGGUUCGGGUACGAGAUGGAUUACCUCUUUCUGCUUCUACUGAUUAUGAACAAAGCAUGGGAGUGCAGGAGUGCAGAAAGUAUUUUAAAUCACUCUCGAAGAAACUUGGUCAGCUUCCUGAUAGAUGUACACUGAAAACUGGACAAUAUAAUAUUAAUUUUAUUAGCUCACUGGGAGUGAGUUACAUGAUGCUGUGCACCGAAAAUUAUCCAAAUGUCUUGGCUUUCUCUUUCCUGGAUGAGCUUCAGAAGGAAUUCAUCAGUACUUACAACAUGAUGAAAACAAAUACAGCCGUCAGACCAUACUGUUUCAUUGAAUUUGAUAACUUCAUUCAGAGGACCAAGCAGCGAUAUAACAAUCCCAGGUCUCUUUCAACAAAGAUAAAUCUUUCUGACAUGCAGACUGAAAUAAAAUUGAGACCACCUUAUCAAGUUUCCAUGUGCGAAUUGGGAUCAGCCAAUGGAUUCACAUCUUCAUUUUCUGUGGAAUGUAAAAGUGCUAGUAAGAUUUCUUCUGCUCAUCAGAGACUGGAGCCAGUGACUCUGCCAGGGAUUGUGGCAUUUAUUCUUAGUCUUUUAUGUGGGGCUCUGAAUUUAAUUCGAGGCUUUCAUGCCAUAGAAAGUCUCCUACAGAAUGAUGGUGAGGAUUUCAGUUAUGUCAUUGCAUUUUUCCUUGGAACAGCAGCUUGUCUAUACCAGUGUUAUUUGCUCAUCUACUUCACUGGUUGGAGGAAUGUAAAAUCUUUCUUGACUUUUGGCUUAAUUUGUCUAUGCAACAUGUAUCUGUAUGAACUCCGCAACCUCUGGCAGCUUUUCUUUCAUGUGACUGUGGGAGUGUUUGUGACACUACAGAUCUGGCUGAGGCAACCCCAGGGCAAGUCCCCUGAUUAUAACGUCUAAAACAAGCCUGACUACAUUUGCAUAUAACAGCUGCCUAGAGAAUCAAGAGAGCCUCCUGCUUGUUAUUGGGGAAGAUUUCUACCAUACAUGAAGAGCAUAAUUUUCCUUCUUUUUUCCAUCUUUCUUUUUGUUGUUUAAAAACAAUGUUGCCUGCCUCUGAAUACACUUGCCGUGGAAGUCUUCCAAAAAAGCCUUUGAAAACAUUGCUGGCUGAGGGAUCAUCAUCAUGAAGAAGGCAGGCCUCCUUUUUGCUCUGCUGCACAUGUGGACAUAGUAAAUUUGGAAGAUAGCAAGCAGCACAUAAACCUUUCUGAAAAACUCAGUGAAACCAUGAACAUAGUACUAGUUUUCCAAAACAAGUAUGAACCAGUGUCAACUUGGUCUUUGCCUUUGUGAGGCAGUAGUGAAGAUUAAAUAAAAAGAUGCUAUGGCAUACUGGCAAAUUUAUAUUUUAAAUGAAAAAGUAGUUACUAAAUGUCAGAAUGUUGAACUACACACUAAUAGGAAUGUGCAUUUGUGUGUCUCAAACUGAUUUUUUUAUUGGUUCUUUUAGAGUUCUCACUUGAAUCUUUAACCCUAAAAACCAAUAAUUCUGAAGAUAAUCCUGGCAGUCUCAUUUAGCCUUAAAAGCCAGUUGGCUCUGAAAGAAUGAGAAAGUGCUGUUAUCACCCCACCACAUGAAGUUGGCACUUUGAGGUUCCUACUACUGAAGCUGCAUCAGGUAAUUAGGUUAGUCCUCUCCCUGCCUUUGCUCACACUUUCCAGAUAUGAAAACUAUUCCUGUCACCAUCUCCUAGCUUCUUCUCCAUCUAAUGAUGGAGAAAACAGAAUGUUCAUCAUUUCUCUAAGAGGUGGUAUUGCACAGAUCUCUUGAAAACCAUAAAUCUAAUUAACGUAUCUAAUUUUCUUCCUUCAGAUCAUAGAUAAUUAUAGCUGUUUUCUCGGCAUAUGGUGUUUUUUAGGGGUAAUGUUUUUGUUUCUCAAGUAACAAGAUUUUUUUAUAUUUCAUUGAUUCUUCUUGCCCUAAUGUCUCCUGAAGCACAUUAACAGUUUUCUUAUGAAGGCACUUGCUGAGGCUCACCUUUUAGUUGCCUUUAGGCCAGUAACUGGUGAUACUUUCUUUACUGUGAAUGAUGGCAAGUGUUUAUCUCUCUCUUAGAUACAGGCAUGGAAGUUCAGUACUUUGGGAGUCAACUUCAUAGAGUAAGAUCGUAUCAUUCCAGAUAUGAUAUGUUGGGUCUAUAUUUCCAAAAAUGAAAAACUUGAACUUGCAUAAAUAUCUACAGCUUUUAGGAUUAUAUAAUUUUAAUAAAUAAUAACAUGAGUUUUUUAAGAAGUUUUUUUUUGUAAACCAUAUUUAUAAUUUUGAAAAUGUUAAGGCUAUUUGGUCAUCAUGUAUAUUUUUUAGCUUCUGUGAUGUCUCCCAUCAAUGUGUCAUACCUCAAGUAGUUUUAUAUAAUUCACUGUGGCUUUGCUGUCCUUUUCAGAAAAGAUAAAAGCUGUACUCUCUAUCCAUCCUGCAUUUCUUUGUCAUUUUUUUAAAAUAAAAGUUUUGAUUAUGCAAA